rnacentral:rRNA from 1 species
GCCAGCAGCCAUGUCACCCUGCAACUUACAACUGGCAGCCCACUGAAGCUCAGCAGGUGUGAGCCUGGUCAGUACCUGGAUGGGAGACCUCCUGGGAAAAACUAAGGUUGCUGCUGGAA